UCCUGAACAUGCUCAGUCAGUAGAGCAUGAGACACUUAUUCUCAAGGUCAUGGGUUCAAGCCCCGUGUUGGGCCAA